ACGGUUAGGCCACGUUGAAACACCGGUUUCCUUACAAUCAGCGAAAUUAAGAAACAUCUAGCCUGGUCAGUACCUAGAUGGGUGACCGCUUGGGAAAACCAAGCGUUGUAAG